GGACCCGCUCUGCAGACACAGGUGUAGUGAUGUUUCUGAGUGCUUCUGUGAUGCGACCCCACCAUGCAGCAGUGACAGGGCCUCCCUUCCCCACACCUGCACCAGGCAUGCCUCCUCCCCUGAAUCUCUGCCAAUGUGAGAGGUACUGUGGCCUUUUAACUGGCAUUGCUUAAUUGAGGUGUGAGCAGCUUCUCAUAUGUUUGCCAGUGUUUGUGCUGCCUCUGCUGCAAGUGGUCUGUCCACAGCCUUCGCCAUCCCUUCUGCCAUCUCACGUGGUUCCAGCUGAGGACAGCUGAUGAUGCCAGUUACUGUACUUAAAGCAAGACAGAAGAGCGAGGCAUCUUUAACUGGAAUGUCCUUGGACUUCAGAGUGCAGUCCUGGGGGCUGAGGUCUUGGUCAAAGUGAGCUCAAAGUGGGCUGUUGGGAUCAACAUCAGAAUUUCAUACAAAACAUUUGGUUUUGUGCUCUGUGCUGAGACUAUGCAGUGUCCCUGGUCCUACUAUGUGUCUGGCAUGGCUCUACAGACUUCAAAUAGAGUUACUUCUACCCAGGAGCUUGUCCUGAAAAAAUAAAAACAAC
ensembl:lncRNA